UGUGUUUGCAUAGUGUGUAUAUAAUGCAGUGUGUUUGUGUAGUGUGUUUAUAUAAUGCACACUACACAAACACACUGCAUUAUAUACACACUAUACAAACAC
rnacentral:miRNA from 1 species